CACCACCCUGUGAGAAUCUCUGUAAUCAUUGAAAGUGAUGCCGUGGUCAGCCUCCCCAGACUUAGCGAUGCCUUCCUGGUAAUCUUUGGACUGAUAUAUGCACUACACCUCAGCUACCCCAAAGCACUGACCAACACUUUUGAAUUCACUGAAAAGAUUUUACUUGGUCUAGAAAGUGGUAAACUGUCACCCAGGUUGCAGACCCUCAAGAAUGACUUGUUGAUGUAAGUGACUGAUGGAGGAGGUGGAGAGGGAGGAGAAGAGGGAGGUGACUGAUGGAGGAGGUGGAGAGGGAGGUGACUGAUGGAGGAGGUGGAGAUGGAGGUGACUGAUGGAGGAGGUGGAGAAGGAGGUGACUGAUGGCGGAGGUGGAGAGGGAGGUGACUGAUGGCGGAGGUGACUGAUGGAGGAGGAGAGAGGGAGGUGACUGAUGGAGGAGGUGGAGAGGGAGGUGACUGAUGGCAUAGGAGGAGAGAGGGAGGUGACUGAUGGAGGAGGAGAGGGAGGUGACUGAUGGAGGAGGUGGAGAGGGAGGUGACUGAUGGCAUAGGAGGAGAGAGGGAGGUGACUGAUGGAGGAGGAGAGGGAGGUGACUGAUGGAGGAGGUGGAGAGGGAGGUGACUGAUGGCAUAGGAGGAGAGAGGGAGGCUUUGAUUUAUUUUGAUUUAUAGAUGUUUAUUAUUUAUUUUUCCAUUUAAUUUUAAUAUUGCAGUGUGCUAAAAGGG
ensembl:lncRNA